AGGACGAACGCUGGCGGCGUGCCUAAUACAUGCAAGUCGAACGGUCUUUUCUAUGGAAGCUUGCUUCCACUGAGAAGAUAGUGGCGAACGGGUGAGUAACACGUGGGUAACCUGCCCAUAAGAGGGGGGAUAACAUCCGGAAACGGGUGCUAAUACCGCAUAGUUUUCUUGAUCGCAUGAUCGGGAAAGGAAAGACGGCCUUUGUGCUGUCGCUUAUGGACGGACCCGCGGCGUAUUAGUUAGUUGGUGAGGUAACGGCUCACCAAGACGAUGAUACGUAGCCGACCUGAGAGGGUGAUCGGCCACAUUGGGACUGAGACACGGCCCAAACUCCUACGGGAGGCAGCAGUAGGGAAUCUUCCGCAAUGGACGAAAGUCUGACGGAGCAACGCCGCGUGAGUGAAGAAAGGUUUUCGGAUCGUAAAACUCUGUUGUCAGAGAAGAACAAGUUGGAGAGUAACUGCUCCAGCCUUGACGGUAUCUGACCAGAAAGCCACGGCUAACUACGUGCCAGCAGCCGC
rnacentral:rRNA from 1 species